GAUGAACGCUGGCGGCGUGCCUAAUACAUGCAAGUCGAGCGAAGCGGGGACGGGUGAGUAACACGUGGAUAACCUCCUAUAAGACGGGGAUAACUUAGGGAAACCGGAGCUAAAACGGCAACUUAUCGAUGGAUCCGCUCUGCAUUAGCUAGUUGGUAAGUUAACGGCGUACCAAGGCAACGAUGCAUAGCCGACCUGAGAGGGUGAUCGGCCACACUGGAACUGAGACACGGUCCAGACUCCUACGGGAGGCAGCAGUAGGGAAUCUUGCGCAAUGGGCGAAAGCCUGACGGAGCCACGCCGCGUGAGUGAUGAAGGUCUUCGGAUCGUAAAACACUUUUAGUAGGGAAGCGGUACCUAAUCAGAAAGCACCGGCUAACUACGUGCCAGCAGCCGCGGUAAUAC
rnacentral:rRNA from 1 species